CCUACGGGUGGCAGCAGUGAGGAAUAUUGGUCAAUGGCCGUAAGGCUGAACCAGCCAAGUCGCGUGAAGGAAGAAGGCUCAGUGGUUUGUACACCUCUUUUGUAGGGGAAUAAAGGUAUCCACGUGUGGGUAUUUGCAUGUACCCUAUGAAUAAGCAUCGGCUAACUCCGUGCCAGCAGCCGCGGUAAUACGGAGGAUGCGAGCGUUAUCCGGAUUUAUUGGGUUUAAAGGGUGCGUAGGUUGUUUUUUAAGUCAGCGGUGAAAGUUUGGGGCUCAACCAGACAAGUGCCGUUGAAACUGGAAGACUUGAGUGUGUUUGAGGUAGGCGGAAUGCGUGGUGUAGCGGUGAAAUGCAUAGAUAUCGCGCAGAACCCCGAUUGCGAAGGCAGCUUACUAAGCCAUAACUGACACUGAAGCACGAAAGCGUGGGGAUCAAACAGGAUUAGAUACCCGAGUAGUC
rnacentral:rRNA from 1 species